UUGACUAUUUUGAGUGGAGCUAAAAUCAUUUCAAAAGCACCAUGUAGUCUGCAUCCACUGAAUGAAAUACUAGGUAUACAGUUUUUGUUAUAUCAAUCAUUUGAUGCAUUAUAUUUUUGUAUGUGACAGUUUUAACAAAAACGUAUUGUAAAAAAAAUGGUAGCAGGGGAAAAGCAAACAUUAAUGUCACUGAAAAUGUUGAACAUGAACCCUAACCCUAAGAUUUAUUCAGUUAGUAGUCUGUUUUAUCUUUGAUUCCGGCAGCUGGGACAAGAGCAGUAACCCUGAACCCUGGAAUAAACUCAGUCCAAGCUACCAAUAUAAGUUUGUGGCCAUUAACACAGACUACAAAAACCUGAAGAAGGAAGGACCAGACUUCUGAACAUUUCACGGUUGUUGCUCAAGUACUUUAAUUAUGAAGAUGCUGAUAUGCCCUUGCACCUCACUAUUCUAAAGUUUUUACACAAAUGUGUGUGUUUUUAGGAAAAAAUGAUAUCCUCACAAACGCUGAUAGACAUAUUCAUUAGCAUGAGAUGAAAAGCGGAAUAAAAACUAGACUAGCUUUUCUUUUGUUUAUGCGCAUUAGAUGUUAAGCUUUCUAGAAAUCCCCAAAACUGCAGAGAUAACAUGACCUCUCUCUAGUGAGCAUGAGAAAGGGCGAAAGGAAGACGAGCAGAUGUAAACAGAACCUGAACAGCACAGACUCAUGGGAAGGAGAUCGAGCUCCCUCAGGACUGCUCUUCAGCUGUUUAGAAUGACACAUGGAGAACAACACACAGAUAUCUUUGUCUCUCUCACUAGCUCUAUAUCUGCACUUAUUAUUGUAACCAACUAUCAUCAUUCAUCUUCACGUUUUUUAGUACUGGCAAGGCAUACAGACAAACACAGGAAAUA